UACGUAGGGUGCAAGCGUUAAUCGGAAUUACUGGGCGUAAAGCGUGCGCAGGCGGUGAUGUAAGACAGUUGUGAAAUCCCCGGGCUCAACCUGGGAACUGCAUCUGUGACUGCAUUGCUGGAGUGCGGCAGAGGGGGAUGGAAUUCCGCGUGUAGCAGUGAAAUGCGUAGAUAUGCGGAGGAACACCGAUGGCGAAGGCAAUCCCCUGGCCUGCACUGACGCUCAGUGCACGAA
rnacentral:rRNA from 1 species